AUGCUUUGUUCUUAGUUUGAUGUGAAUAUCUUUUCUCUUAAACAAAUAUAGAGAUCAUCCACCUCCCAAACGCAGAUUCUUAGUGUUUUAGUCAAGACACUCUUUUAUUUUUUUUUAAGACAGAAUCUCAAUAAUUAAAGUAGCUUAAUAAUAGUGGCUUACAAUUGAAAAUUGUAAGAUCGGAGGUACUUUUUAGCAAAGCAGGAGCCUGGCAUGGAAUCAGUGCCAUCAGAAAUAUGUCUGGCUUUUCCUCUCAUAAUUGUCUCUACUUUCUGGGUGUUCUUUUAUUCUUAGGCAGGCUUUCACUAUGUGGCAGCAAUUGUCUACCAUGUUUUUAGUAUCCAGGAGCAUCAGGAGAAGAGUCAUCUCUCAGCAUCCAUUCUAGUUCCAAAAUUGAUGUGGACUGCUCUCCUUGAGUUAUAUACCCAACCCUGCACCAAGCACAGAAUCCAAGUGCAUGUGUUGUUGCCCCCCCCAAGCCAGGGAUUCUCAGCCGAGAGCCCAGAGAAGUAGAAGGAAAAUUAUUUUUCUCCCGUACAUGAACUGGAUAACAAGUCCUUAGGGAACAUAUUUGUAUUUUGGUGGAAGUUUUAUAAUACCCCUCUUAUCUGAAAGCACUUAUCUGACAUAAUGGAAGCUCUGAACCUCGUGACUGACACCUUCCUUUGUCCCCUAACUCUCAGCACCUG